CCCGCCCUCAAGUUAUAUAGCCCUUCCCCCACUUAGGGAGUGGUGCUGUCACUUCGGGUAAACAACUUUUUCUGGCCAUUGUUAGUUUGAAUUUGCUGAUUUCCUAUUUAACUAGAUGUAAACAUCAAACCUACUGUGAGGUUACUAAGGUGGGGUAUUUGGUUUUUCUGAGCUGGAACUUUAGUUUUUCAAUAUGGAUAGUGUCUUGUUUUAUGCUUUGUUGGCAUCUAUUGCAACUACUACAAAUGCUGAAUUGGGGAACAUCAUCAAGGACAAUUGAUGGCAUCACCUAUCUUGGAAAUAUAUAAGAGAAAGAAGCUGCCAAAAAGCAGUAUGAGAAGGCUGCUUCACAUGGACAUACUGCAGGUCUAGUCAAGUAAGACUCAGAUCAGCGUGUACACCCUUAUAGCAUCGUUAUUCACUUCCAGUCCCAUAGG
rnacentral:lncRNA from 1 species